AGACCAAUAUCUUUGCCAUUAUUUUACCAAAAAUUGGAGCUUAAAGUAGGAGUUGAUAGUGUAGGCAUUUAUUUUUUAUUUAUGUAGCUAGAACUCUCAGUCUAGUGAUUAGGACAGAGUGUGUCUUAACAAUUGAAUUGAACUCUUUAGUCAAUUGUAUCGCAUGUUAGUUUUAUCUUGCACAAUUUCCUUCUGAAAAGAAAAUGAAUCAACCAUAUCACUCUCAAAUGAGUUGAAGCUUAACCAUAUGAAUCCUCCUAAUCCUUGCAACUCUAUUUACGUCCAUUCUAUUUUUAAAAAAGGAAAUACAAUUAAACAAUUUAAAUAUCCGUAUAUUAUUUAGGUACUGUUAAUUGUAAUGUCAAAGUCAUGAUGGUUGAGUUGUGAUUUAUUAAAAAAAAAAAAAAAAAAAAAAAAAAAAAAAAAAAAAACUGAUCAAGCCACUAUCAUCCUGCAUAGGCUAAGCUUGACAUAUUAUAGGAGGAUAUGACAGGUGGAUUCUUAAUCAUAUACACUCAAUUGGCGUAACAACUUAACAACCAAAAUCACAAUGUCAUUAUCAAAAGUAUCUGACUUUUGCUUAGACAUGGGAAAGUAUUUAAACAUAUAAUAUAUGUCCAAUUGAGCGAAGUACUAGUUGUCUUGAAUUCUUUAAUAUCAUCAUAGUGACUGGUUCCUGAAACAUGGCCAGCUAAUUAAAAGGUCUUGUUGGAGCACCCCAACAACAUUGUAUAUUUCCUACAACAUAAAUCCUUGGAGGAAACAUUAGUUCAUCGAUCAUCUCUCCAACAAAUGAGUGGGAGAACCUUGCUCUUGAUAUUGUUCUUAUGGGCUGUCCUUACAGUCGUAACCCCUAUCCUUGUCCGAUUGUCUGCUUCUGCCAGAGCAAAUGGCGAAUUUUUCGUCACCAGACACACCAGUGAGACAAACGAGAGGAUGAAGGCCGGAAAAGUGAUGGGGUUGUUGGCAAGGAGGGCGCUUGUUGCAGCAGCACCACGAAAGAAAGACUCAACUCCAUCACUGACACCAGAAAUUGUGCCAUCGCCACCAUCACAGACAAUACUCCACCUGCCUUAAAAUCGCAAUUGUGAAGCUGAAAAGACAUUAUUCUUGACGUGUGCAUGAGAUCGUGAAGUGUGAGGAUUCCAUUUUCUAGUUGCAAGAAUUAGUUGAGUUAUUACUAAGUAAAUUAGACAAACGUAAGACAUGGUUAUACUUGCAUUAAGAGUAGAGUUCAAUUGGCACUAUGAUUUUGUACGGCGUAUAUAUAUAUCUGCAGAAAGGUACACAGCAAAAGUUCCAUUAAUUAAAGUACAUAUGAAAUUGAGAAGUUCUUUUUGUUG